rnacentral:rRNA from 1 species
UACGUAGGGGGCAAGCGUUGUCCGGAUUUAUUGGGCGUAAAGAGCGUGUAGGCGGCCAAGCAGGUCAGCUGUGAAAACUCGAGGCUCAACCUCGAGACGUCGGUUGAAACCGCUUGGCUAGAGUCCGGAAGAGGAGAGUGGAAUUCCCGGUGUAGCGGUGAAAUGCGCAGAUAUCGGGAAGAACACCCGUGGCGAAGGCGGCUCUCUGGGCCUUACCUGACGCUGAGGAGCGAAAGCGUGGGGAGCGAACAGG